GUGCUCUCUUGGGCAGCGCCCACACUAAAAUUGGAACAAUACAGAGGUUAGCAUAGCCUCUGCAUAAGGAUGACAUGCAAAUUCGUGGAGUGUUCCUUAUUUGG